UGGGGAAUAUUGGACAAUGGGCGCAAGCCUGAUCCAGCAAUACCGCGUGUGUGAAGAAGGCCUUAGGGUUGUAAAGCACUUUCAAUGGGGAGGAAAACCUGCCGGUCAAUACCCGGUAGCUUGACAUUACCUUUAGAAGAAGCACCGGCUAACUCCGUG
rnacentral:rRNA from 1 species